rnacentral:siRNA from 1 species
AUCCAAACUUCUUUGGUCCUUGGU